UACGUAAAAGACUAGUGUUAUUCAUCUUUAUUAGGUUUAAAGGGUACCUAGACGGUAAAUUAACCUUAAUUGGUAAUUUUUUACUAGAGUUUUAUGAGAGAGAGGGAGAACUUUUAGAGUAGAGAUAAAAUUUUAUGAUACUAAAGGGACUGAUAAAGGCGAAGGCAGCUUUCUAUGUAAAAACUGACGUUGAGGGACGAAGGCUUGGGUAGCAAUAAGG
rnacentral:rRNA from 1 species